rnacentral:lncRNA from 1 species
UUUUUAGGGUACAUUAUUAUACGAAUUCAUAUUCAUCUUAUACGAAUUUUCUAUGGAAAAUCAUUAUACGAAUUAAUUUAACAGAACAACUUAACCUGUUAUAUUAUUAGGGUCAUUAAUAAAAGUGGAAGAAACAACCUUCAAACAAGUGGUGGGCUGAGAGUGAAGUCUGUACAAACUUUGACUGUCUUGAUUCUUAUUACAAAGUUACUUUGAG